UCCUGGGUCAAUUUAGGAGGGAAGUAAAAGGUCGUAACAAGGGUUCCGUAGGUGAAACCUGCGGAGGAUCAUUAAUGAAUAAACUGAUGUGGACUGUUAGCUGGCUUUUGAAGCAUGUGCUCGUCCGUCAUCUUUAUCUCUCCACCUGUGCACAUUUGUAGUCUUGGAUACCUGGAUCGCUCUGCUGUACAAGUCGGCUUUCUUUUCAUUUCCAAGAGUAUGUUUUUAUAUACACCAAAGUAUGUUUAAAGAAUGUCAUCAAUAGGAAAUUGUUUCCUAUAAAAUUAUACAACUUUCAGCAACGGAUCUCUUGGCUCUCGCAUCGAUGAAGAACGCAGCGAAAUGCGAUAAGUAAUGUGAAUUGCAGAAUUCAGUGAAUCAUCGAAUCUUUGAACGCACCUUGCGCUCCUUGGUAUUCCGAGGAGCAUGCCUGUUUGAGUGUCAUUAAAUUCUCAACCUUCCAGCUUUUUAUUAGCUUGGUUAGGCUUGGAUGUGGGGGUUGCGGGCUUCAUUAAUGAGGUCGGCUCUCCUUAAAUGCAUUAGCGGAUACUUUUGUGGACGGUCUAUUUGGUGGGAUAAAUUAUGUACGCUGUGGAUGAGAAGCAGAU
rnacentral:rRNA from 1 species